rnacentral:ncRNA from 1 species
AGAAAAGCAACGAAGAAAAAGCAGUAGCGGGAUUUUGUGACAUCCAGAGAGAUGAGGAACGGUGCGACUCAUCCGCAGAAAUCUUUCGUGAAUUGGGUUUUUGGAGCCUUGGAGAGCGUCAGUUUUCCAACGGAACAGGCCGUUAUCCUGCAUGAGCGGUUUUUCAGACGUCUGGAAAACAAGCUGGGUGGUACCACGCGGAAGCGUCCCGGUG